GUCGAUAUUGUUGUAGUCAGCGUGGUUAUCACGUCUGCUUUACACGCAGAAGGUCGCCGGUUCGAACCCGGCCGUUGACA
rnacentral:tRNA from 1 species